rnacentral:miRNA from 1 species
UGCGUGUGUGUGUGGGUGGGUGUGUGUGUGUAUAUAUAUAUACACACACACACACACACACACCCACACACACACACA